AGCAUGUGGUUUAAUUCGAAGCAACGCGAAGAACCUUACCAAAUCUUGACAUCCUUUGACAACUCUAGAGAUAGAGCCUUCCCCUUCGGGGGACAAAGUGACAGGUGGUGCAUGGUUGUCGUCAGCUCGUGUCGUGAGAUGUUGGGUUAAGUCCCGCAACGAGCGCAACCCUUAAGCUUAGUUGCCAUCAUUAAGUUGGGCACUCUAAGUUG
rnacentral:rRNA from 1 species